CCUCCCAAAGAGAAUUUUACUUAUAAUUUUCAAGUCAAGGAUCAGAUUGGAAGCUUUUUCUAUUUUCCAUCCUUGAAUCUUCAAAGAGCAUCUGGUGGUUUUGGUUCCUUUAUCAUUAAUAAUCGAGAAAUUAUCCCAAUUCCUUUUUCACAGCCUGAUGGGGAUAUUAUCCUUCUGAUUGGUGACUGGUAUACACAAAACCAUACGGCAUUGAGAACUGCCCUUGACUCUGG
rnacentral:misc_RNA from 1 species